CAGGGACGUGCUGGAGACAGGAGAGCGAGUCAUCGUGACACACGUCUUCUUCGGCCCCACAGUGUGUUAUGGACGCUCCAGAUCCCGCAACUAGAGACCAACAGCGGAGCACUGAGCCAGGAGACACAGGAUAAGAAAGAUGUCUAAUGCAAGCAGAUGCCUGCCAUCAGAGGGAUUCCCAACUGUUAAGAAGGGUUCCAGUGAGGACCACGUGGUAACGUGUGGACAGCACUCGCACAGUACCUGGCUCAGUGGCUGACUGAUGCCAUCAUUGCUGCUACUGUGGUUACUGGAAGCACCUGAAGACCCACCUUACCUGGAGUGCACCUCCCACAGCUUCUGGUUCAUCCGAUAAUCCCACACGGAGACCAGGCCCUCCUCGCCCCCGCUGACAAUCUUCCAGUCGUCCAUCUGGACUGAAGAGACUCCGAGCUGGUGGGCAGAGAUGGACAGGGCGAUCGUGUCAGUGCGGAGGUCGUGGAUCCUCACCCUGCAGGGCCAGAGAUGAGCGCAGAGAUUAGCAUUAGAGCCUGAAAUGACGAAUUCCUCCUCAGCCAUCCUGGUCUGUGUACAGCAACCCUAUGAAAACAGAGUAUGAAACCCCUCAGUUACGAUAUCUAAAUACUGAUACUAAACUUUCACCACCUCCUUAGUGUACUCUCAGAGGAGGCCAAGAGGCACUAGAAAUGAACUAGUUUAGAGCACUCCCCACCGUUCAAAGCACAGAAUAAGGAGGACUCAGAACAGAUACACUGGCUGCCCUGCUGCUCACUUCAGGGGAGACGCCUGCCCUGGGCACAAGCCCAUUGCGAUGGAGGCUGACCUGACUGCCAUGGGGACGUCGGCCUGAGAAGGCUGUCCAGAGGAGAGAAAAACUGCCUGGACAUACACUGAGGAGUUCAAUUCUCAAGCAUGAGAAGUAUCAGCUGUUUUAGGAGGGCUCGAGGAAAAAAAGAUCAGCUGCUGCACUGGUACGACAGAGGUCUGGGAUUUGGCACAAAGGAGGACCCGCCUCACGAUCUGAUACCCCACCAAGUGGCCCGCCACCUGCAGCCCGGGGCUGGCCAGGGGAGGGGGCGCCAGCUGAACCUGGCCUCCAGCCACGCUACCUCUCUUCAGGGCACUGGAUCAGACAUGACAGAUAACCAGUCAAAAAAAGAAGAAAAAGGAAGAAGAAAGAAAAGGAAAAGACAAGGGGGAGAGGGAAGAGAAAGGAAAAAAGCCUAAAAUUUGGACUCAGACAGUCUUUUCAAACACUUUAAUCCUUCCAUGCUGAUGGGUCCUGGAGCGGCCGGAGCUGGCACUGGACCCUGUACCGGGAAAAUCCAACUCCCUAAGCCAAUACGUUAAAGGGAAGACUGCUAAUCAGCUAAAUAGAAACUGGAAUCUGUUCACAUGAAGUCUCUUUUUUUCCCCCAUCACCGGAGGGACACCAUAGUGGUCUGAAACACACUCUUGACAUCAUUUGGCAGGCAAACCUAUUUUGCUGAACAUGAUUCAUCCCUUAGGUUGUUGUUUUUAAUAUUAGAAAGUGAGCUUUUAAAUGCCAAACAAAUUUUACAGCAGGGAGACAAAAGAUAUUCCAAGUGGUCUCACUGGACCUUCCACCAACUGCGUCCACCAAAUGGCCUAAAAGACAACCUUCCCAUGGUGUUUCAGAAAUGAGGCAGAGACGCAACUCCAUCCAACUAUUACCUAAUACAAGACUUUGUUCUCCAAGUUCACAGGGAUGGUAUUUAUGGGAUCAGGGCUGAACUCAGGUGGGCAGAGAUGUGAGUGAGAAGUGAGGAGGGUGAGCUGGGGAGGAAAUCAGUGAGCUCAGUGGAGGCCGAGCGGCCAGGCCUCAAGAGAAGCUGCCUGUGGCUCUAAGAUGCGACUCUACUGACACCUACCUCCUGUCCAUGUUGCCACUGACCAUGAGAUUGGGAGGGCUGUCCCGGAGGUUGACGCAGGUGAAGUCGCCAAGCGCGUUGCCCAGCUUCGAGAGGCAGCGUUCUGCUUCCAGGCUAUACACCAGGAUCUGGGGAGGAGGAAAAACACGUGGGUGUGCGUUAGGGGCAGCAGGCCUGCACAAACAAUUUCCACCCAGCGUCGCCCCGGGGCACGGUCACAGCACCAACUCCCAUUAGAGAAGAGGCUCUAAUACUCCAUUUCCUGACCACUUCCAGGUAAUGACAGUAUAAGGAUGGCUCUUAGAACAACAAAAGGAAACACAAGAGAAAAGAAAAUCCAAAGAAUUCCAGGCCAAGGUGCAAACAAACUCAUAGGACACAAAAAAAUGCCAAAUGGGGAAAUUCGGUAUCCCAAUUUCUUAACACAGAAAAAGAAGCAUGGAAACUAAGGGUCACUGACUGCUUCUGAUUAGUUAAUGGGGGAGGCUAACAAGAAGUCUGUGUACAGGUUCUCUCUCUCUUUUCCCCCUCGGUAUUUAUACCACAGAAGGUAAAAAGAACAAACAGUAUAAGCAUCCAGGAUGAUGAAGCUUGUACAGUUAACCACUAGAUGAUUCCUUUAGAUUAAACUACAAACCAAAACAUAGUCUUAUUCCCAAACGUUAAAAAAAAAUUUUUUUAAUUGAGGUAUAACUGAUAUUCCCCAACAUCUCUCUUCAGUCACUCUCCACCAGCUAAUUAUAGUAAGCUCUGUUCCAUAAGGUAUGGAGGCAAGUAAGAGAGUAUCCUUGAUCUCUAGACAAUGUAUUCAUUACAUUUGAACACUGCCUUUUCUCCAGCAAAUGGGGAAACAAGGAUGAUUCAUAAGGAAUCUUUCUGAAGAUUAUUUAAGUCUUUUACUAAAAAGAUCUUAGUAAUUCAAUUAACAUUAAGUGCUUGCCAUGGGUCAGUAAUUGUUGUAAGUACUGAAGACAUAGUUAGUCCUUGCACCCAAAUUCACUGUUCAAAAUCCUCCUCAUUUAAACACACACACACAUGUGAGCAUACGUUAUAUUCUGUUGAUCAUGUGGUUAAAAUUAAUCACUGAACUCAAAAGUUUUAAUGUUAAUAUUUUGUAGAGUCUCCUCUCUUAGCCCACACAUGAAAAUGAUGUGCUAUUUUUUCUUAUUAACCUAUACAUUUAUCAAUUAUCAGUGUACAGAUUCCUAUUUUAGUACUGAGAGGUUAAUAAAUUGACUCCACCUUGAAAACCAUUGAUCUCAUUGUUGACACAUAUUUCUAACAAUUGAAUCUUUGGAAAUUCCUAAUAGUCAAAACAACACUAUAAUAUUAAGUAAAACUGCUCACGGUAUCUGAAAGGAAAGAGAGCAAUUUCAAAAUGUAAAAUGCCUUUUUUCUUUUUUCUUUUUUUGCGUUACGCGGGCCUCUCACCGCUGCGGCCUCUCCCGUUGCGGAGCACAGGCUCCGGACGCGCAGGCUCAGCGGCCAUGGCUCACGGGCCCAGCCGCUCCGCGGCAUGUGGGAUCUUCCCGGACCGGGGCACGAACCCGUGUCCCCUGCAUCGGCAGGUGGACUCUCAACCACUGUGCCACCAGGGAAGCCCGUAAAAUGCCUUCUUAAUCCCUAAAGACCAUAGAGAACAAGCUAAAUUUAUUUUUAUUUUCAUGCAGUUGAAAAUAAAAGUUUCUGAGAAAAUUUCAACUGUAAAAUAUCCAAAAUAAGAUUCUUCUUCCAAGUAUGGACAUAGAAAUAAAUCAAAUCUUCCAUCUACAGUAAAUAUCCUAAAAAUUACAUGAAAAUCGGUUCCUGGAGGGAGAAAAAAAAAAAAAAACACCAGCAAUGUCAUGGUCUACCCUGAAAGUAACAUUCUGCACUUAUGUAUCACUAUACAGCUUUCAAGAGGGCUUUUGGACUCAAUCUCUUCUUCUUUUUAAAAUACUUCAACAUCUAUAGCAGGAAGAAAUGUUCCAUGAUAAAUAUAAGAAUUAAAAUCUGAUAUUGAGUCUGUUCCUAUGUCUUUAUACUUUUUUUUUUAGAAGUUCUUUUUUGACAAGAGGAUAGAUCAUUUCUGAAUGAAACAGUGGGAUCUAAUCCCUCUUCAAAAAGACUGCAAAUUCAUCGUAUAAGUUAGUAGUCAGGAGUCAAGUAUUUUCUAAAAUGUUUAAUAAUUCAAUGAAUCAGAACUAUCCAAAGAGUACCUUGACCAUUACGUUUAGUUAAAGACCGCAGAGAUUAGAAAACACAUUACCCAUCUCAGAGGCGGUUCUUCCCACGUUACGAGUCCCUCAACAACCUUUAGCAUCUCUCUCUCCCCUCCACGCUCUCUCUCUUUUAAUAAGGUUGAGCAAAUGGGACUUCAUUUUAUCUGAUUGCCACAGACUAGUGAGAUUAAUUAUUCAUGCUCACACUCUCCCUCUUGUUAAGACCAUGCAUUAGACUAAUUUUUCUCUUUAUUGCCCUAGUUGGGUGAGUCUCAACCCACGGCCACUUGACUCACUCUCAGAAGUGUAUGGAUAUGCUGGAAAGAAGGAAAAAACAACCCAUAGCUAAAAUCUUGGAGAAAAUGUUCUGCACCAAUGUGACCGCCAAAUCAAUAGAUGUUGCUGGGGAUAUUUUUCUUAAGUACCACAUGUAUAUUACAAAAGGGUUUAAUCAGUGAUAAAGGCGCAAAUUUGUAUAGAAGUUGGAUGUUUCUUUAAGAAUUAUCUAAACUGACUGAACCAUGUUGUGUAUUUUACAAAGGUAACUGCAGGAGACGCAGUGUGUAGUCCCGGACGCUGCAGGCUCUACUCCUUUCUCUUUGGCUUCCAGGGAGAUCUAGAGGGCACCUGGUGGAAGCAAGCAUUGUUUAAAAAGAACUUUCUGUUUUUUCCUUCUUAGAGAUGUUAAGGUAUUUUCACAAAUCCUAGUCUUAGAAUCCUAACUUUCAUUUUUGUCAAUUAUUCAGAUUUCUCUGAAAUUUCUAAAGAAUCUGUGUUUUUUUCUGAUUUCAAACAUAAUAUAUCUUGUGUAACCUUCUGGAUAGCCAUCUCUCAGGAAUAACCACUUUAACAGUUUAGUGUAUACAGUUGUCCCUUGGUAUCCAUGGGGGUUUACUGCCGGGACCCCCCGGAUACCAAAAUCUGCCCACGCUCAAGUAAGUCCCUUAUAUAAAAUGGUGUACUAUUUGCAUAUAACCUACAUCUUCUCAUCUACUUUAAAUCAUUUCUAGAUUACUUACAACACCUAAUAUGAUGUAAAUGCUAUGUAAAUAGUUGCUGGUGCUCAGCAAAUUCAAGUUUUGCUUUUUGGAACUUUCUAGAAUUUUGGGGGGAAUAUUUUUGAGCCGAGGUUGGUUGAAUCAGUGGAUUCGCAACCUGUGGAUGUGGAGGGCUAUGUACUGCUAGACUUUUUCUAUACACGUCUGUCUUGUCUGUGGCGCGCACACCCUCUCUGUGUAUAAAAUUAUUUUUUUCUCUCGAUGGGACUGUCGUUCUACAACUUGUUUUUCCUACUAAAUAACAUGAGAGUUCUUUCCUCGUCAGUACCUAUACAUAGAUCUUGUUCUUUUUAAAGGCUGCAUAGAACUUGUCUAUGGAUAUAUGAUUCCAUAUUGAUGUAUAUUUGGGUUGUUUCUAAUAUUUUAGAC